CAGAGCCAAGCCAGUGCAGAGUCGGGGAGGAAUCCAGUCCUGAAUAUUUGACCUGGCAACAGCUGCUUGCAUGGAGACAUCUCUCUCUCUCUCUCAGCAGCUGCAACUGCCUGGAAGCCUGAGAUGUGACUCCAGGGAGGCAAGAUUCCUCAAUUGUAAAAAAAAUCCACAGGAAUGGCGCUACGUGUGUCUUCAGAGCUCAAGGUGGCGUACAAACGUGGUUCUCCUCCCUCUUCAUUUUAUCCUCACAACAACCCUGUGAGGUAGGUUAGGCUGAGAGACUGUGACCGGCCGAGAUCACCCAGCAAGCUUCAUGGCUGUGUAGGGAUUUGAACUCUGGUCUCCAAGGUCCUAAUCCAACCCUCUAACCACUAUACCACUCUGGCUAUUAAUACUCCAUCGACCUAUGCCAUGUAUGCGCCUGAAGACCCCCAAAGGAGUUAACAUAUCUAUUUAACCUGGACCUGGACACCAGCUGUCAGCAUGACCCAGGGAUGCAACUUGAUACUCCACCUACGCCAGGCCACCACCUACGCCUCUUGCGGUGGAGAGCGCCAAGCUGGGCUGGAGCUGGAGCUGGGCUGCGGCCUUUCAGCAGGCCUGGUGCUGCAGCCUGUCCUCAGGAGAUGCCUCUUUGUUGUGAUGAUCUUUCGGCAGCUUCUGAGGGCUGGGAAGUGCCCCUGCAGCUGCCAGCAUCCUACCAUCUGGCCUUCAUCCAUUUCGCCUUGAUAUCGGCUGCGCUUUCACCCUGGCUCCUUCACCUCAGCUUCUUUGAGAAGAACUUCCCUGUUAGUUUUGACUUCGAGGGGCCUGUUUAUCCCGCCCUUCUCCCUGUUGGAGCUGCUGGAUGUUAAGAUCAAGAGGAGAUGCCGCUUUUGAUCCUGCAAAUGGACUAUCACCCACACUGGUUUCUAUGCCAGGGUGGGAAGACUUACACCAGAAGCUUCCAUCUGAAGGUACACCUUUCGGGCUAUACAGGCGAGAAGCUCUACUAUUGAAACUCAGUUGCCUCUACCUUAUUAUUUAGUUUUUAUU